GAUGAACGCUGGCGGCGUGCCUAACACAUGCAAGUCGAGCGAACAGACGAGGAGCUUGCUCCUCUGACGUUAGCGGCGGACGGGUGAGUAACACGUGGAUAACCUACCUAUAAGACUGGGAUAACUUCGGGAAACCGGAGCUAAUACCGGAUAAUAUAUUGAACCGCAUGGUUCAAUAGUGAAAGACGGUUUUGCUGUCACUUAUAGAUGGAUCCGCGCCGCAUUAGCUAGUUGGUAAGGUAACGGCUUACCAAGGCUACGAUGCGUAGCCGACCUGAGAGGGUGAUCGGCCACACUGGAACUGAGACACGGUCCAGACUCCUACGGGAGGCAGCAGUAGGGAAUCUUCCGCAAUGGGCGAAAGCUUGACGGAGCAACGCCGCGUGAGUGAUGAAGGUCUUCGGAUCGUAAAACUCUGUUAUUAGGGAAGAACAAAUGUGUAAGUAACUAUGCACGUCUUGACGGUACCUAAUCAGAAAGCCACGGCUAACUACGUG
rnacentral:rRNA from 1 species